rnacentral:rRNA from 1 species
AUUGAACGCUGGCGGCAUGCUUUACACAUGCAAGUCGAACGGUAACAGGCCGCAAGGUGCUGACGAGUGGCGAACGGGUGAGUAAUGCAUCGGAACGUGCCCAGUCGUGGGGGAUAACGCAGCGAAAGCUGCGCUAAUACCGCAUACGAUCUAUGGAAGAAAGAGGGGGACCGUAAGGCCUCGCGCGAUUGGAUGGGCCGAUGUCAGAUUAGGUAGUUGGUGGGGUAAAGGCUCACCAAGCCGACGAUCUGUAGCUGGUCUGAGAGGACGACCAGCCACACUGGGACUGAGGCACGGCCCAGACUCCUACGGGAGGCAGCAGUGGGGAAUUUUGGACAAUGGGCGCAAGCCUGAUCCAGCAAUGCCGCGUGCAGGAAGAAGGCCUUCGGGUUGUAAACUGCUUUUGUACGGAACGAAAAGGCUCUGGUUAAUACCCGGGGCUCAUGACGGUACCGUAAGAAUAAGCACCGGCUAACUACGUGCCAGCCGCCGCUGUAACAC